rnacentral:rRNA from 1 species
UACAGAGGUCUCGAGCGUUAGGCGGAAUCACUGGGCUUAAAGCGUGUGUAGGUGGAUCGUUAAGUACCUUGUGAAAUCCCACGGCUUAACCGUGGAACUGCUUGGUAUACUGGCGGUCUUGAGCCAGCUAGGGGCUACCGGAACAAAUGGUGGAGCGGUGAAAUGCGUAGAUAUCGUAAGGAAGACCAGUGGCGAAGGCGGGUCUCUGGACAGUUCCUGACGCUGAGGCACGAAGGCCAGGGGAGCAAACGGG